AGUGAACGCUGGCGGUAGGCCUAACACAUGCAAGUCGAACGGCAGCACAGUAAGAGCUUGCUCUUACGGGUGGCGAGUGGCGGACGGGUGAGGAAUACAUCGGAAUCUACUUUUUCGUGGGGGAUAACGUAGGGAAACUUACGCUAAUACCGCAUACGACCUACGGGUGAAAGCAGGGGAUCUUCGGACCUUGCGCGAUUGAAUGAGCCGAUGUCGGAUUAGCUAGUUGGCGGGGUAAAGGCCCACCAAGGCGACGAUCCGUAGCUGGUCUGAGAGGAUGAUCAGCCACACUGGAACUGAGACACGGUCCAGACUCCGACGGGAGGCAGCAGUGGGGAAUAUUGGACAAUGGGCGGAAGCCUGAUCCAGCCAUACCGCGUGGGUGAAGAAGGCCUUCGGGUUGUAAAGCCCUUUUGUUGGGAAAGAAAAGCAGCAGGUUAAUACCCCGCUGUUCUGACGGUACCCAAAGAAUAAGCACCGGCUAACUUCGU
rnacentral:rRNA from 1 species